CCUAAUAUCGAUUGUCUUCACGAAUGAUAAGUACAAAGGUAGCACUCUUGAGAUACAAGGAAGCAGUGCUCAGUUUGAAAGGGUUAGAGAAGUUGCUGUGGUUGGUGGCACCGGAAAAUUCCGUCUCGCGCGCGGUUACGUGAGUUUUGAAACGAUUCAUUACGAUGCUAAAAUUUACUAUGCAGUUAUUCAAUGCAAUGUUACUGUAUUGCACUACUGAAGGGCAUCAAGAUUUUCAUACAUUCAGACUUUGUAAUAAGUUCUAUUGGUAAGAUAAGAGAAAGGUUUCUGUAUUGAACCAUUAGUUCGUUCUUCUCAAUGUAUUUUGGUAACUUCUAAUAAGUUCUAUCGGUAGGAUAAGAGUUGACUUAUUCGCUAUUUGGAAUUACUAUUUGUUCUUAUUGCAGAAUUGAUUAAUGGUAACACUAGUAUACUUGGA
rnacentral:lncRNA from 1 species